rnacentral:misc_RNA from 1 species
GAUGAAGAACGUAGCGAAAUGCGAUAAGUAAUGCGAAUUGCAGAAUUCAGUGAGUCAUCGAAUCUUUGAACGCACAUUGCGCCCUGUGGUAUUCCGCAGGGCAUGCCUGUUCGAGCGUCAUUUCAACCAUCAAGCUCCCGGGCUUGCGUUGGGGCCCUGCGGCUGCCGCAGGCCCCUAAAACCAGUGGCGGGCUCGCUGUCACACCGAGCGCAGUAGCAUUUCUUCGCUCUGGGCGCGGCGGCGGGCGCUUGCCGUAAAACAUACUACUUUUUAAAGGUUGACCUCGGAUCAGGUAGGAAUACCCGCUGAACUUAAGCAUAUCAAUAAGCGGAGGA